GUGGCGCCUCCGUAGAUGUGUGGGGUUUCUCGUAGCCUGUGGCCGGUGUAGGUGGGGACCUUUGAAGUCCGAGUGGUUUGGAGGGCGACGCCGCUCGGAAAAUUGUUUUGAGAAGCGGGAGACGAGUCCGUUUCCCUGAACAGGACCUGGACAGCCUCUUCGGGUGUGCAGCCGGGGACACCCUCUCCGAAAUUUCUCAGGAAAUUCUGCCUCAGAAAGAUCUAGUUAACCCAGGCAAGACUCCAGCCUCCAUGACCUUCCCUGAGUUCCAAAGAGUGGACUUGAACAUUGCUAAUCAAAGUGAGGAGCAGCCAAGAAACCAGCUGAGGCAGGAUUAAAGGGACCAGGGAACUCAUCAAGGUCAGGAAACCCACCACCUGUGACCCCACACGUACCCCAAGCUUGUCAGCAAUCCCACCCUUGAAGUGUUUUUAUAAAACUCAACAAAUCCUUCCAGGUUAGGACACAUACUUUUUCAAGCCAGGAGCCUUCUGUGCCCAUCUUUACCUGGCAAAGCUGUAAGGUUCUCCUUUUCUAUUUCACCCAAACUCUGAUAUUUGAUUUGGCACAGGUGCAGAGAGGCAGAAUUUUGGGCAUUAUAAAGUGGGUGGCAUGCUGCCAUAAAGCGUGGGAACUGUCUGUAUUGACUUCUUGCUCUAUGUGAAAGCAUUUUAUAUGUAAGUUUGAUGCAUUUUAUAAGAUUAAAAGUAAUCCUGAUCUAUUUUAAAAA